UUAAGCGACUAAGCGUACACGGUGGAUGCCCUGGCAGUCAGAGGCGAUGAAGGACGUGCUAAUCUGCGAAAAGCGUCGGUAAGGUGAUAUGAACCGUUAUAGCCGGCGAUGUCCGAAUGGGGAAACCCAGUGCAAUUCGUUGCACUAUCGUUAACUGAAUACAUAGGUUAACGAGGCGAACCGGGGGAACUGAAACAUCUAAGUACCCCGAGGAAAAGAAAUCAACCGAGAUUCCCCCAGUAGCGGCGAGCGAACGGGGAGCAGCCCAGAGUCUGAAUCAGCUUGUGUGUUAGUGGAACGGUCUGGAAAGUCCGACGGUACAGGGUGAUAGUCCCGUACACCAAAAUGCACAGGCUGUGAACUCGAAGAGUAGGGCGGGACACGUGGUAUCCUGUCUGAAUAUGGGGGGACCAUCCUCCAAGGCUAAAUACUCCUGACUGACCGAUAGUGAACCAGUACCGUGAGGGAAAGGCGAAAAGAACCCCGGCGAGGGGAGUGAAAAAGAACCUGAAACCGUGUACGUACAAGCAGUGGGAGCACCUUCGGGUGUGACUGCGUACCUUUUGUAUAAUGGGUCAGCGACUUAUAUUCUGUAGCAAGGUUAACCGUAUAGGGGAGCCGCAGGGAAACCGAGUCUUAACUGGGCGUUAAGUUGCAGGGUAUAGACCCGAAACCCGGUGAUCUAGCCAUGGGCAGGUUGAAGGUUGGGUAACACUAACUGGAGGACCGAACCGACUAAUGUUGAAAAAUUAGCGGAUGACUUGUGGCUGGGGGUGAAAGGCCAAUCAAACCGGGAGAUAGCUGGUUCUCCCCGAAAGCUAUUUAGGUAGCGCCUCGUGAACUCAUCUUCGGGGGUAGAGCACUGUUUCGGCUAGGGGGUCAUCCCGACUUACCAACCCGAUGCAAACUACGAAUACCGAAGAAUGUUAUCACGGGAGACACACGGCGGGUGCUAACGUCCGUCGUGAAGAGGGAAACAACCCAGACCGCCAGCUAAGGUCCCAAAGUCAUGGUUAAGUGGGAAACGAUGUGGGAAGGCACAGACAGCCAGGAUGUUGGCUUAGAAGCAGCCAUCAUUUAAAGAAAGCGUAAUAGCUCACUGGUCGAGUCGGCCUGCGCGGAAGAUGUAACGGGGCUAAACCAUGCACCGAAGCUGCGGCAGCGACACUAUGUGUUGUUGGGUAGGGGAGCGUUCUGUAAGCCUGCGAAGGUGUGCUGUGAGGCAUGCUGGAGGUAUCAGAAGUGCGAAUGCUGACAUAAGUAACGAUAAAGCGGGUGAAAAGCCCGCUCGCCGGAAGACCAAGGGUUCCUGUCCAACGUUAAUCGGGGCAGGGUGAGUCGACCCCUAAGGCGAGGCCGAAAGGCGUAGUCGAUGGGAAACAGGUUAAUAUUCCUGUACUUGGUGUUACUGCGAAGGGGGGACGGAGAAGGCUAUGUUAGCCGGGCGACGGUUGUCCCGGUUUAAGCAUGUAGGCUGGUUAUCCAGGCAAAUCCGGAUAAUCAAGGCUGAGGUGUGAUGACGAGGCACUACGGUGCUGAAGUAACAAAUGCCCUGCUUCCAGGAAAAGCCUCUAAGCAUCAGGUAACAUCAAAUCGUACCCCAAACCGACACAGGUGGUCAGGUAGAGAAUACCAAGGCGCUUGAGAGAACUCGGGUGAAGGAACUAGGCAAAAUGGUGCCGUAACUUCGGGAGAAGGCACGCUGGUGUGUAGGUGAAGUCCCUGCGGAUGGAGCUGAGACCAGUCGAAGAUACCAGCUGGCUGCAACUGUUUAUUAAAAACACAGCACUGUGCAAACACGAAAGUGGACGUAUACGGUGUGACGCCUGCCCGGUGCCGGAAGGUUAAUUGAUGGGGUUAUCCGUAAGGAGAAGCUCUUGAUCGAAGCCCCGGUAAACGGCGGCCGUAACUAUAACGGUCCUAAGGUAGCGAAAUUCCUUGUCGGGUAAGUUCCGACCUGCACGAAUGGCGUAAUGAUGGCCAGGCUGUCUCCACCCGAGACUCAGUGAAAUUGAACUCGCUGUGAAGAUGCAGUGUACCCGCGGCAAGACGGAAAGACCCCGUGAACCUUUACUAUAGCUUGACACUGAACAUUGAGCCUUGAUGUGUAGGAUAGGUGGGAGGCUUUGAAGCGUGGACGCCAGUCUGCGUGGAGCCAACCUUGAAAUACCACCCUUUAAUGUUUGAUGUUCUAACGUUGGCCCCUGACCGGGGUUGCGGACAGUGUCUGGUGGGUAGUUUGACUGGGGCGGUCUCCUCCCAAAGCGUAACGGAGGAGCACGAAGGUUAGCUAAUCCUGGUCGGACAUCAGGAGGUUAGUGCAAUGGCAUAAGCUAGCUUGACUGCGAGCGUGACGGCGCGAGCAGGUGCGAAAGCAGGUCAUAGUGAUCCGGUGGUUCUGAAUGGAAGGGCCAUCGCUCAACGGAUAAAAGGUACUCCGGGGAUAACAGGCUGAUACCGCCCAAGAGUUCAUAUCGACGGCGGUGUUUGGCACCUCGAUGUCGGCUCAUCACAUCCUGGGGCUGAAGUAGGUCCCAAGGGUAUGGCUGUUCGCCAUUUAAAGUGGUACGCGAGCUGGGUUUAGAACGUCGUGAGACAGUUCGGUCCCUAUCUGCCGUGGGCGCUGGAGAAUUGAGGGGGGCUGCUCCUAGUACGAGAGGACCGGAGUGGACGCAUCACUGGUGUUCGGGUUGUCAUGCCAAUGGCACUGCCCGGUAGCUAAAUGCGGAAGAGAUAAGUGCUGAAAGCAUCUAAGCACGAAACUUGCCCCGAGAUGAGUUCUCCCUGAGACUUUAAGUCUCCUGAAGGAACGUUGAAGACGACGACGUUGAUAGGCCGGGUGUGUAAGCGCAGCGAUGCGUUGAGCUAACCGGUACUAAUGAACCGUGAGGCUUAACCUU
rnacentral:rRNA from 1 species